AAUCUCCAAGCUGCACGCAUUGAUCCAUGUGAUUGAGGGGAGAGAGGAGACUUCCACGAACGAUAUAUCAUCGAAGAGAUAUGUGAAAAACACCUUGAGGAUUGAUUCUAAACAACGUUUACCAUGUUUCAGUCGAUAUUAUGGAGUUAAUUUGGAAAAAAGUUCGGCGUUUUGAUGACUGAAUUUUGGGGGUUUUUUGGUAGCCAAACGUGACGCACCAAACGGAGCGAUUUCUCCUAAACAAAUAAUCUUUCAGGAAAAACUGAGCAUUUGCUAUCUAACUGAGAGUCUCCUCAUUGAAAACAUCCGAAGUUCUUCAAAAGCCCCAAUCGGAGGUCCUGAGCCCGCUGGAGCAGGUUUUUCAUCAAGUCUCCCAGUCCCUGCCACUGAAAAACAUCCCCACACCAUGAUGCUGCCACCACCAUGGAUCACCAUAGGGAUGGUGCCAGGUGUCCUUCAGACCUGACGCUUGGUAUUUAGGCCAAAGAGUUCAAUAUUGGAGAAUCAUGUUUCUCAUGUUCUGAGAGUCCUUUAGGUGCCUGUUGGCUUAUUUCAAGCGGGCUGUCAUGUGCCUUUUACUGAGGAGUGGCUUCCGUCUGGCCACUCUACCAUAAAGGCCUGAUUGGUGGAGUGCUGUAGAGAUGGUUGUCCUUCUGGAAGUGACAAUCGGGUUCUUGGUCACCUCCCUGACCAAGGUCCUUCUCCCCCGAUUGCUCAGUUUGGCCAGGCGGCCAGCUCUAGGAAGAGUCUUGGUGGUUCCAAACUUGGAAUCAUAGAGGCCACUGUGUAAUUGGGGACCUUCAAUGCAGCAGAAUGUUUUUGGGGCUCGACACAAUCCUUUCUCGGAGCUCUACAGACAAUCCCUUCAUCGUCAUGGCUUGGUUUUUGAUCUAACAUGCACUGUCAACUGUGGGACCUUAUAUAAACAGGUGUGUGACUUUCCAAAUCAUGUCCAGUCAAUUGAAUUUACCACAGAUGGACUCCAAUGAAGUUGUAGAAAGUUGUAAAAAACCUGUUUUCACUUUGUCAUUAUGGGUUAUUGUGUGUGAUUGCUGAGGAAUUCUUGUAUUUAAUCCAUUUUAGAGUAAGGCUAUAACGUAACAAAAUGUGGAAAAAGUCAAGGGGUCUGAAUUCUUUCUGAAAGCACUGUACUGCUAAAUUCCGUUGAAUGAUUGAAUUAUUCAAUGUUAUGCAACACAAAGAUUAAAAUAAAAAAAUUAAAAUCUAAACUAAUCCAAUAAUUGUAUUUUUGCAC
ensembl:lncRNA